UACGGGGGGGGCAAGCGUUGUUCGGAAUUACUGGGCGUAAAGGGCGCGUAGGCGGCCUGUUAAGUCGAACGUGAAAUCCCCGGGCUCAACCCGGGAACUGCGUCCGAUACUGGCAGGCUUGAAUCCGGGAGAGGGAUGCGGAAUUCCAUGUGUAGCGGUGAAAUGCGUAGAGAUAUGGAGGAACACCAGUGGCGAAGGCGACUUUCUGGUCUGUAACUGACACUGAGGCGCGAAAGCGUGGGGAGCAAACAGG
rnacentral:rRNA from 1 species